AGUCAUAUGCUUGUCUCAAAGAUUAAGCCAUGCAUGUCUCAGUACAAACCAAAAUAAGGUGAAACCGCGAAAGGCUCAUUAAAUCAGUUAUGGUUCCUUAGAUCGUACGCACAGUUACUUGGAUAACUGUGGUAAUUCUAGAGCUAAUACACGCAAACAGAGCUCCAACCAGAGAUGGAAGGAGUGCUUUUAUUAGAUCAAAACCAAUCGGCGGCAGGCACUACUUGUAGCUGUCUGUUCGUCGCCCUAUUUGGUGACUCUGAAUAACUUUAUGCUGAUCGCACGGUCUUGCACCGGCGACGCAUCUUUCAAAUGUCUGCCUUAUCAACUGUCGAUGGUAGGUUCUGCGCCUACCAUGGUUGUAACGGGUAACGGGGAAUCAGGGUUCGAUUCCGGAGAGGGAGCCUGAGAAACGGCUACCACAUCCAAGGAAGGCAGCAGGCGCGCAAAUUACCCACUCCCGGCACGGGGAGGUAGUGACGAAAAAUAACGAUACGGGACUCAUCCGAGGCCCCGUAAUCGGAAUGAGUACACUUUAAAUCCUUUAACAAGGACCAAUUGGAGGGCAAGUCUGGUGCCAGCAGCCGCGGUAAUUCCAGCUCCAAUAGCGUAUAUUAAAGUUGUUGCGGUUAAAAAGCUCGUAGUUGAAUUUGUGUUCCGUGCUGUCGGUUCACCGCCCGCGGUGCUAACUGGCACGUCUCACGGGACGUCCUGUCGGUGGAAGACAAUCUCCUUGUGCUGUCUGGGCUUCUGCGUUCUCUACGUGUUAGCGUACGCGCAGGGGUCCCGGGUGCUUGGCGACCCUUCCGACUUGUAUAAAUCCUGUCGCGGUGCUCUUAAUUGAGUGUCGAGGCGGGCCGACACGUUUACUUUGAACAAAUUAGAGUGCUCAAAGCAGGCUAAAAUUUCGCCUGAAUACUAUGUGCAUGGAAUAAUGGAAAAGGACCUCGGUUCUAUUUUGUUGGUUUUCGGAACCCCGAGG
rnacentral:rRNA from 1 species